UACGAAGGGUGCAAACGUUGCUCGGAAUCACUGGGCGUAAAGCGCACGUAGGCGGAUCUUUAAGUCAGGGGUGAAAUCCUGGAGCUCAACUCCAGAACUGCCUUUGAUACUGCAAAUCUCGAGUCCGAUAGAGGUGGGUGGAAUUCCUAGUGUAGAGGUGAAAUUCGUAGAUAUUAGGAAGAACACCGGUGGCGAAGGCGGCUUCCUGGACCGAUACUGACGCUGAGGCGCGAAAGCUAGGGGAGCAAACGGG
rnacentral:rRNA from 1 species